AAAAGCACCCCGAUAUAUCAGGUUGUUGGGUCCGGUUCGCUUUGGUCGGUGACACCGGAUGGGCAGCCCACUUAGGUGGGCUUUUU
rnacentral:sRNA from 22 species